GAUGAACGCUGGCGGCGUGCUUAACACAUGCAAGUCGAACGAGAAGUGGAGACGGAAACCUUCGGGCGGAAGACUUUACUUCGAGUGGCGGACGGGUGAGUAACGCGUGGGUAACCUGCCUCAUACAGGGGGAUAACAGUUGGAAACGACUGUUAAUACCGCAUAAGACCACAGCACCGCAUGGUGCGGGGGUAAAAACUCCGGUGGUAUGAGAUGGACCCGCGUUCGAUUAGCCAGUUGGCGGGGUAACGGCCCACCAAAGCGACGAUCGAUAGCCGAUCUGAGAGGAUGACCGGCCACAUCGGGACUGAGACACGGCCCAAACUCCUACGGGAGGCAGCAGUGGGGAAUAUUGCACAAUGGGGGAAACCCUGAUGCAGCGACGCCGCGUGAGUGAAGAAGUAUUUCGGUAUGUAAAGCUCUAUCAGCAGGGAAGAAAAUGACAGUACCUGAGUAAGAAGCCCCGGCUAACUACGUG
rnacentral:rRNA from 1 species